rnacentral:lncRNA from 1 species
UGAGAGGGAGGUGUUUGUUUAUCCGUUCUAUGUUUGCGGCCGAAUGUGGCCUUUAUUUCGAGAGAUUGUAUGGGCAUGUUUUGGCCGUUUUAUGGUUUACCGGGACUGGCCGUUGGUGGCUUUGAAUCCCUACCGCUUUACGCGGUUUUAUAUAUAUGAUGGAUGUUUUAUUUUGAAUUUUCCUAAGUAGGUUCCAAGUGUAUAUGAGUUGUCGUCUCAUAUUUAAUUCCGAUGAGACGUUCAAUCUGUCGGUUCGUUUGUGAUUUUUCGUAGAAAAUUACUUAUUCUUACGAUUUUCGAGAACGUUGAGAUGUGAACGGAGAGAUAUGAUUUAAGAUCUCGUAUCAUUUAGAUAUCAUGUCUUGAGAUGUUUGAAACCAAUGCGAUGGGUUUAGGGCAAGAACUAGGUUUACUUUUUGUUUAAGGUUUGUGCGGUGACUAGCCGGCUAUCGUUUUUCCUGUUGCGAUUUCUUCCUGAUUCGUACCAAUUUAAAGUCCGCGAUAGGUUCUCGGCUUAUACAACUUGUAUGGUACGA